GAUGAACGCUAGCUACAGGCUUAACACAUGCAAGUCGAGGGACCGGCGCACGGGUGAGUAACACGUAUCCAACCUGCCCUUUACUCGGGGAUAGCCUUUCGAUAGAAAGAUUAAUACCCGCUGUACAGGAUGGGGAUGCGUUCCAUUAGGUUGUUGGUGAGGUCACGGCUCACCCAGCCUUCGAUGGAUAGGGGUUCUGAGAGGAAGGUCCCCCACAUUGGAGCUGGGACACGGUCCAAACUCCUACGGGAGGCAGCAGUGAGGAGUAUUGGUCAAUGGGCGUUAGCCUGAACCAGCCAAGUAGCGUGAAGGAUGAAGGCUUAUGGGUCGUAAACUUCUUUUAUAUAAGAAUAUGUAUUAUAUGAAGAAGGAUCGGCUAACUCCGUGCCAGCAGCCGCGGUAAUUC
rnacentral:rRNA from 1 species